UUGUUGGUAAGGUAAAAGCUUACCAAGGCUUCGAUCAGUAGCUGGUCUGAGAGGACGACCAGCCACACUGGGACUGAGACACGGCCCAGACUCCUACGGGAGGCAGCAGGGGGGAAUUUUGGACAAUGGGGGCAACCCUGAUCCAGCCAUGCCGCGUGAGUGAAGAAGGCCUUCGGGUUGUAAAGCUCUUUCAGCCGGAACGAAACGGUUACGGAUAACACCCGUGACUACUGACGGUACCGGAAGAAGAAGCACCGGCUAACUACGUGCCAGCAGCCGCGGUAAUACGUAGGGUGCGAGCGUUAAUCGGAAUUACUGGGCGUAAAGCGUGCGCAGGUGGUUUUGUAAGUCAGAUGUGAAAGCCCCGGGCUCAACCUGGGAACUGCGUUUGAAACUACAAGACUAGAGUGUGGCAGAGGGGGGUGGAAUUCCGCGUGUAGCAGUGAAAUGCGUAGAGAUGUGGAGGAACACCGAUGGCGAAGGCAGCCCCCUGGGUCAACACUGACGCUCAGGCACGAAAGCAUGGGGAGCAAACAGGAUUAGAUACCCUGGUAGUCCAUGCCCUAAACGAUGUCAACUAGUUGUCGGGCCUUUACGGGCUUGGUAACGUAGCUAACGCGUGAAGUUGACCGCCUGGGGAGUACGAUCGCAAGAUUAAAACUCAAAUGAAUUGACGGGGACCCGCACAAGCGGUGGAUUAUGUGGAUUAAUUCGAUGCAACGCGAAAAACCUUACCUACCCUUGACAUGUAUCGAAGCCCGCAGAAAAGCGGGGGUGCCCGAAAGGGAACGAUAACACAGGUGCUGCAUGGCUGUCGUCAGCUCGUGUCGUGAGAUGUUGGGUUAAGUCCCGCAACGAGCGCAACCCUUGUCAUUAAUUGCCAUCAUUUAGUUGGGCACUUUAAUGAGACUGCCGG
rnacentral:rRNA from 1 species